rnacentral:tRNA from 1 species
GGCAGAACAACCUAAUGGGUAAGGUACUGGACUGGGAGUCAGGUAACUUUGGUUCUAUUCCUGGCUCUGUCA